AGGGCAGUGCUUAUGCAGACUGGAUAUCAGCCACAGAAAAGAACUGACUUGAUGUGUCAUGAGUUGGCCCUGGUGAGAACUGACAAAUCAGUCUGAUGUUCAAACUCAAGUGCUGGACACCAUGUGUCAUCUAUUUUCCCCCUGUUCAGCUGUAUAGAAGUCACUGCGUUCUUGUCUCAUUUAAAGGAAGAGAGAUGAUAAAAAUCCAGUCAAUUCAGUACUAAGAAGGAUGAACUGAAUAAGGGGAGGAAGACAUUUAUACAACUGGCCUCAGAAGAAGUGAAUGAUCUAUGCUGAUAAAACUUAGGUUCAUAAUUUUUUAUUUCCCUCAAAUCACCCUUGGUAGAACUCUAUGCUAUAAAUCGUUCCAUUGCUAGCAAUUAUUGAGUGGAAUGGUAGAGUUAAAGAUCCAGAUUCCCACAUCACUACGUCCACAGAUCAAGAAUAAAUUUUGAAUUGCAAGAAUUUUUUUUCUUAUUUCUGUCUGUAAAACCUAGUAAUAGAAUUACUACCCCUUGUAAUAGUUGCUGAAAAGCGUGUUUAAAAAUGAAGUGUCACUUCA